CACAGAUACUGUCGGACCAAAACACCUACAAAAAAGUCGACAAGGACCCAACAAACAAGAGAGCCCGCCACCUCUGUGAAGCUGCCCACCUCAGCGGGGAACUGCAGCAUAUCGAGCGAGUACUACGUGAAAACAAGCUGCAGAAGCCCCCACGGCAUCACAGAAGUCGAAUGUAGCCACACACAGUUGAACGACAACCAGCCUACCUACCAUA